AUCAUUCUUAGCUACGGGGAGGGCUAUGAUAGAUGUGCCCAAUGGAAGCGUAGUAUUUCACGCAGCUGAUGCGCAUGAGUCCUCUACCUCUGUUCGUGUUAGGCGGUCUGUCACGCCUGCUGCGUUUGAUGUUCAUUGAGGCUAUGAGGUAUCGUCGAGCUCUAGACGUUAAAUUAAGCACUUGUUGGGAGGUAACCCAACUGUUUUUCUUUGUUUUGUUUUUCUUUCUUUUAGUUGUGUUUUGUUUCUUUUUGUUUCGUUGUUUUGUUUUGGGGUUUUAGUUCAGCGUUGAGCUUGGAAGAUGCGGGUACUCGCGCCUUGUUCAUACCACCACCAUGGAGCAUGUGUUUCUGUGAGUAGUGACACACAUAUCAUCAUCCCUCCAAACUUAUUUUCGAACUUAUGUUCUGUAAUAAGUUUGGGGGAGGGGGGUGAGAGUAGAUAUGUGUAUCACUUUUAUCUUUGUGUUAGCUUUAUUGUUUUAUCCUGCUUGGUUGGUGAUGUGUGUUGUUUUGCUUUUGAGUUGGUUAUUACUCCAUUUAGUUGUUUGGUAAGGUGCCUGUGAAGAUUUCUGCGAAAAAGAAGGUAAUUCUUAAUUUUUCUUGAUAUGGUGACAUGAUUUGAACCGAUGAGUGUGAUUGUUGUGUAGAUUUUGCCUUGACUUUUGACGUUGAACAAGCUAGUGAGGAAUUGAGCCUUAACUGCCCAUAUUUGCAGUUUGUUCUUUGUUUUUGAGUGUUGUCAUGCAUGUAGUGCGCUUCUAGAACUUGCCAUGAGUCUUGAUCGAGGUUGCUCGUUGUGUUUAAGAGUUUGAGAUGAUCUUAGGCCAUCUUUUGUAAGCCACAUUAUAUCCCAAACACUGCCCUUAAAUUUUUAAUCCCUUGUUAACCGUGUUUGAGCCUUUCUAAGCUUUGAUUCAUUAACCGGACGAUAGGGGGUAAUGGAGUUUAUGGGGAUCGUUUGUGGUAUUUGUGAUGGGUGGAUUGAAAAUAAGGGGUGAAAGAAAAAGAUUCUAGUCAUUCUUAUAAGCUCUAGAAAAAAAAAGAAAAAAAAAGAAGAUAAUUUGUGAUGGAAGUUGUUUGAGAAAGUCGAGUGAUAAUUGAAUAAUUCAUGGAAAAUCGACUUUGUUGUUAUAAGAAAAGUGAGAGCAUAAAGGAAUGUCUAGCAUGAUUUGUGAUGACUAUAGCCCUUGAUUUGUGAUGAUUAUGGAGAUGUAGUUAGGUGGAAGAUGGAAUUUAUUCCAUGCUUGAAUGGUGAAGUCAUAAGGUUGGUGUAAUCAAUUUAUUUUGAGUCACUUAGCCAAAUUUCCCUACCUAAACCAAUGUCCCUACAUUAGAACCCAAAUUAAAGACCUAUUUGAUCUUACUCUUGGCACACUUUUAGCGAUGGAGAUUUUGAGACGAGUGGCAAGCAUAUGGUAAGUAAUCUGCAUUGCAUGAGUUUCGAUGAGUGAUACACGUCCUUUAUCCAUCAAUUGAGAGUUGAGUGAAACACUUUUAUCUUGAGAGUCAAUUGUUGGAAUGUCAAGGUUGAAUCUGCCACUGAUUAUGCUUGUUGGUGAUUUUUGUGUUCCUGAUUGAGGAUUUGAGGGAAUUCGAAAAAGUUUUAUUUUUCUGAGGCAUCGAUGAUCCAAUCAUCUUACCCAUUCGUGUUUAUUGUUUUGUUCUUCUC
rnacentral:lncRNA from 1 species